GGACAGGAUGUUAGCUGCCCAUCAGGGGAGAACACUGGGCAGGCAGAGAGCUCCGCACCUCCACCAAUGACCCUGAUAUUUACUCUACUGGACAAUAUGCCAUGGGAACGAAGCAGCCCAUCAGGCACAGAAGUCCUGGAUCGAGAGAGCGUUCAGCAAGAGAGAAUGUGUUCAUAUCAUAGUGAGCUCCAAAGACCCCCAUAGGUGCUGUUGCGG